rnacentral:rRNA from 1 species
GACGAACGCUGGCGGCGUGCUUAACACAUGCAAGUCGUACGGUAAGGCCCUUUCGGGGGUACACGAGUGGCGAACGGGUGAGUAACACGUGUGUAACCUGCCCACAACUUUGGGAUAACGCUAGGAAACUGGUGCUAAUACUGGCUAUGUGCUCCUGCUGCAUGGUGGGGGUUGGAAAGCUCCGGCGGUUGUGGAUGGACUCGCGGCGUAUCAGCUUGUUGGUGGGGUAGUGGCCUACCAAGGCGGCGACGGGUAGCCGGCCUGAGAGGGUGACCGGCCACAUUGGGACUGAGAGACGGCCCAGACUCCUACGGGAGGCAGAAGUGGGGAAUAUUGCACAAUGGGCGCAAGCCUGAUGCAGCAACGCCGCGUGCGGGAUGACGGCCUUCGGGUUGUAGACCGCUUUCAGCAGGGACGAAGCUUUUUGUGACGGUACCUGCAGAAGAAGCACCGGCUAACUACGUG